AGGGCCGUAGCUCAUAAUUGGUAGAGCAGCGGACUCCAAAUCCGCCGGUUGGGGGUUCGAGUCCCUCCGGCCCUGCCA
rnacentral:tRNA from 1 species